rnacentral:rRNA from 1 species
AGAAUGUGAAGGAAUGAUACAGAAAUGGAUCAGUCAGCAAUGACCUGAAACAAGGUGCUGCAUGGCUGUCGUCAGCUCGUGCCGUGAGUUUUUGGUUUAAGUCCCGCAACGAGCGCAACCCCUGCAUUUAGUUGCCAGCACGUAAUGGUGGGAACUCUAAAUGGACUGCCUACGCAAGUAGAGAGGAAGGAGGGGACGACGUCAAGUCAUCAUGGCCCUUACGCCUAGGGCUACACACGUGCUACAAUGGGCGGUACAGAGGGUAGCUACCUGGUAACAGGAUGCCAAUCUCGAAAACCGUUCACAGUUCGGAUUGGGGUCUGCAACUCGACCCUAUGAAGCUGGAAUCGCUAGUAAUCGCGUAUCAGCAAUGACGCGGUGAAUACGUUCCCGGACCUUGUACACACCGCCCGUCAAGCCAUGAAAGUCUGGUAGACCUGAAGCUGCC